rnacentral:misc_RNA from 1 species
UCAGUUUUUCACAUUCCCAUAACACAGUGUGUAUCUUUAUAAUCAUUACAUAUUAAACUUGACAUCAUUUUAAUACAUGUUUGUAUGAUAUUCAUUUGAAUACUCACUACAUAUAUUUAUGAUGUUUGUUAGUGCAAGCGUACAAGUGCCUCAUGUUCUAACACACAUUUCUACUUUGAAGAAGCAAUAUUCAUUUCUUUGUAACUUUUUAUUAAUGAACAAAUGAGAGAUAUCUUACUUUAAAGAUAGGUAUACCGGUACAUACAAGUUUCAACAUACUUGUUACAAGUAUGUUAUAUCCAGUUUUGGAGUCUGUGAAUCUUUUUUAACGAAAGAUGUUCUGUUGUUGUGUUUCCUUAACUAUUUCAAAUAAAAAAUAUUCUCUUU